UACGAAGGUCCCAAGCGUUAUCCGGAUUUAUUGGGUUUAAAGGUGCGUAGGCGGAUUAUUAAGUCAGUGGUGAAAGCUCCCGGCUCAACCGGGAAAUUGCCAUUGAUACUGAUGAUCUUGAGUGUGGUUGAGGCGGGCGGAAUGUGUCAUGUAGCGGUGAAAUGCUUAGAUAUGACACAGAACACCGAUUGCGAAGGCAGCUCACUAAGCCACAACUGACGCUGAUGCACGAAAGCGUGGGGAGCAAACAGG
rnacentral:rRNA from 1 species